GAUUCAAACUGAUGAUCUAUAAUCCGGAAAAAUUGAUAAUCCGGAAUCGCCGAAGUCCUGACGAGUCCGGAUUAACGACUUUUGACUGUAUUAUAUUUUUUAAUUUUUUGCAGAUAGACAUCCUGAUGCUGUUAACUUCUGGAUGGGUGAUAAAAGAGCUGUUACAUCAUUACAUAAGGACCAUUAUGAAAAUAUUUAUUGUGUUGUGAAAGGUAAAAAAGAAUUCAUACUUCAUCCUCCUACUGAUGCAGCAUGGAUUCCUUAUGAGACAUAUAAAGUAGGUGCCUACAGAUUUGAAAAUGAAAGAUGCACUAUAAGGGAUAUGAAUCAGCAGGUUAAAUGGAUACCAGUGGAUCCACUUAAACCAGAUUAUGGGAAAUAUCCAUUGUAUAAGAAAGUCAAAACUUUUCACUUUGUUGUAGAAGAAGGCGACGCUUUAUAUUUACCUUCUUUGUGGUUUCAUCAUGUUAGGCAAUCUCAUUCAUGUAUUGCAGUUAAUUACUGGUAUGACAUGGACUUUGAUGUAAAAUAUUGCUACUUUAAAUUUCUCGAGAAAAUUGGAGAAUUAUGUAAUAAAUCCAAAGACUAUACUGACUAAUUUUUGACAUUAUUGGGCAAUUGCUAUGGAGCAUCAUCAGAAUUGGACGUACAGUACGCCUUCCAGUAACUUCCCAAACAGUGGUAGACAUGGCAAGCAAUUAUAUUGAGGGGAUGUUUAAAUGGAUGCCUAAGGUUUUGUAUGCAGUAGAAAACUGGCACCUGUGUCCUGUUACUAGUAGACGGUGCUUAAUUUCCCACGCUUCUGGAUAGACCGUUAUUCAAGAUGGUGGACAACAGUGUGAACAUCUAUGUGGAACAGCGUGUUGUGAUGAAGUUUCUAGUAAACAGCAUAAAACCUGCUGUACGGUGAUGAGACAAUCAGUCGCACUAAGACAUUUUGAGUGGUGUAAGGGUUUCAAAAGAUGGUCGUAUCUCUACUACUGACAAUCUCGGUCGUGGUGAAUCACAGCCCAUGGUAGUCAUUCCUGAUAAUAGCGCAUGGAGCAGCUGAUCCUGGGUAAUCAUUGUAUAACCUAUCGUGAAAUCGCUAGGGUGUGUAAUCUGUUGUUAGGAACAGUGAACACAAUAAUUCAUGACCAUUUGUUGUUCCGAAAAAGAGUGAUUGGUGGGUUCCAAAGCGGUAGUUUGCUUUUGACAGACACAGAAGAGUUGAAGUCUGUAGAGAACUGAAAAAACGCUAUGAAAGGGAAGGCCAGGAAUUUCUGAAUCGCAUCAUGAACAUGUGACGAAACAUGAGUUCACCAUUUCACACCAGAAUCCAAAACAGCAUCGAUGCAGUGGAAGCAUACAGACUCACCACCUCCCCAAAAAUUUCAAACAGUUGUGUCUGCUGGUAAAGUGAUGGCAAGUGUAUUCUGGGAUAAACAGGGAAUUAUUCACGUUGAGAUUUUACCCCAUGGUGUCACUAUCAACAGUGAGUAUUACUGCAGUGUUUUGUGUGAUGUGCACAAGAGUUUACGGAAAAAACGCCCGGGUUUGAUCCCAAAGUUUGUUCUCUUUUUUCAAGACAAUGCACGACUGCAUACUGCUCAACGCACAUUCCAAACAAUCCAGGAACUCAGCUGGGAGGGGUAGGUAGCUGCUGCACAAUGAUUUGUUUUUCUAGAACUUUCUCUCAUAUGAAAAUGUGCUUGAUAUCGAUGUGUUUUGUCCAUCGAUGAAGUUCAUGAUUUUCUCAAAGUCUUAAUGCAGCGGUGUUACCUACUUGAAUUACUGGAACUUCGUGUAACUUGGUAAUGUCACUAAAUAAUCGCUUUAACCAAACUACUUCUCUAGAACGUUCACUAGCUGCAAUUAUCUCUGCUUCAGGUGUUGAAGUUGCAACAACUGACUGUCUUUGGCUAAUCCAUCAUAUAGCUCCGCCACCAUAUAAUAUCACCACUCCACUUGUAGAUUUCCAUGUUAUUUGACAUCCUCCGAAAUUUGCGUCACUAAUAGCACCCCAAUACUCCUGCUCUGGUGGUGUUACUACAUACAUGGCAUAUUCUUUGACCCUUUUCUUCUCACAGCAGUGGACGAAAAAAAAAAGCAUCUAAAAAAUGUCUCACGAUGAAAUUACUGGUGGCUAAUCGGCCGAGCAAUUCUCCACUCUUCAUCUACCAGAUCAAACUGGAGUAAGGGUUCUGUGUUUUGACAAAAUUUGUUGUAUAAUGUUUCUAAUAAAUUAUUUCAAUGACAA